rnacentral:lncRNA from 1 species
AAUAGAGACCUUACGAUUUUAGGACGGCAACGCGACGGCCAAAACAAACUCCUUCAAAUAAAUGGUAGUAAAGAUAGUUCGUCGUAUAUUAUCAAUCGUAUGAAUUUAAUACAGUUUUAGAAGUUGAAGACAUGGGUUUUAUGGUUGGGAAGAGUUCUGCUAAACCCAGUUUGAAGUUGCACUUGUUGCGGCUUGGAAUGCAGCCGUUGUAUCAAGACGUGAAAAUCUGUGAUUUGGCG